GAUGAACGCUAGCGGCAGGCUUAACACAUGCAAGUCGAGGGGUAGAGGAAGCUUGCUUCCUUGAGACCGGCGCACGGGUGCGUAACGCGUAUACAAUCUACCUUUUACAGAGGGAUAGCCCCAGAGAAAUUUGGAUUAAUACCUCAUAGUAUUUUCGGAUCGCAUGAUUUGAUUAUUAAAGUUCCAACGGUAAAGAUGAGUAUGCGUCCCAUUAGCUAGAUGGUAAGGUAACGGCUUACCAUGGCAAUGAUGGGUAGGGGUCCUGAGAGGGAGAUCCCCCACACUGGUACUGAGACACGGACCAGACUCCUACGGGAGGCAGCAGUGAGAUAUGGACAAUGGGCGCAAGCCUGAUCCAGCCAUG
rnacentral:rRNA from 1 species